AAAUCGCAAUGGGUAGAGCGCGUUGGACUUCCUAUCCAAAGGUCGUGGGUUCGAAUUCCACCAGGGAUG